CCUAGGGUGUAAAUUGAUCUAGCGCCAGGGUACUACGAGCAUAAAAGUGCUUAAAAUCCAAAGAGCUUGGCGGUGCUACAGACUGGUUAGGGGAACCUGCCUCGUAAUCGACGGUCCACGAGACACCUGGCCUUUUUUUGCAAAACAGUUUGUAUACCGUCGUCGUCAGCCCGCCCUUAAGGGUGAUGAACAAUUGAGUGGGCAGGAGAAAGAGAAGUUUUUGACGUCAGAUCAAGGUGCAGCUUAUGGAAAGAGUGAGGGUGGGUUACAAUUGAGAGUGAUAUUCAAGAACGGAAGUGUUUCUGAAAAAGGACAUUGAAGGUGGACUUAAAAGUAAUAGGAAUUAAUAUAGGUAGUAUGAACGAAGCUCUGAAGCGUGCACAUAUCGCCCGUCGCUCUCGCCGAAAGGUGAGAUAAGUCGUAACAUAGUAGGGGUAACGGAAGUUGUUCCU
rnacentral:rRNA from 1 species